AAGGUUUGUAUGCACCUAAGUCUUCAAAAUUACAUAGUUGUUGUUGAAAUUUUCGGUUUUUGAGCAACAUGGGUUUAAUCACGUAAUUUGAGUUAAAUAAUAAUAUUUCACGACAAUCGGAUGCACUUCCGGUUUGUUUACGUUCGCUUGCUGACAGCUGCGCUGACAGAUGCUAGCAACGGUCUGCAGUUUGGAAUCAUUAAGAUAACAUGUAGGUAUGGGACGCAAGUUAGGACAUUAUCGUUCGUCAAGUUUUAAAAGUAGAAGAGAUAAGAUUUUGACGGGACAAAGAAGACGAUGUAACGCGGAGAGAGUCAAAGAAGACCAUAGUUACUGUGGUGGCGUAAUUUCACCGGACCUGUCGACGUCGUGUGUUGGAGAGGUAAAGGAUGUCGGUGAUGAUGAUAGGUGGAGAGACGGGAGACGUGUUGUGGAAUUAGGGGUACUUGCUGAUGGUUUGUCUGGUUGUAAAACGUGUGGAAUACCCCUAACUCUAUCACAUACGACGCACAUAUUAAACUAUGGCCUCGGAGCUUUACUAAAGAUUCCCUGCGACAACACUUUGUGUAGAGCUAUGAAUAGUAUUCCAACAGGGAAAAGACACGACCAUCAAGUGUUUGACAUGAACACAAAAUUAGCCACAGGUAUGCUACAUGCAGGCAUUGGAACUACACAAGUGAACAGUUUGCUAACAUCACUUAAUAUACCAGCAGUUAGCCAUGCAAUGCUUGAUAGAAGACAACGAGAAACUGGGGAGGCAAUGGAGGCACUUGCAAAAGAAUCAACAGAGCAAUGGAUGGAUGAGGAAAAAAAAUUAACAACAGAGAUGACAGGAGAAGACAAUAUUGAAGUUUCUGUAGAUGCAGGUUGGCAAAAGAGAGGCAGUGGGAAAGCAUAUAACAGUUUGUCUGGGCAUUGUUCUAUGAUUGGCAAAAACACUGGCAAAGUCACUAACUACAGAGUGAGGUCGCGAUCCUGCAGGGUGUGCACAAGUGCGGAUAGCAAGGACCAGUCACCUUCUGACCACGACUGUAGAAAAAACUGGAAUGGUUCAGCAAAGGCAAUGGAGCAGGAUAUGAUCGUAGACAUGGUAUCAGAUUGCAUAAACAGAGGCUUCAAAACACAGACUAUAAUAGCUGAUGAUGACUCCACAACAAUUGCUAGGCUGUGACAAAAUGUAAAUGUCAACAUAAAGAAAAUUUCUGACAAAAAUCAUGUUAAAAAGAAUUUCAGCAAAACCUUGUACAAACUUCAAGCAACAAACAAGAAACUGACAACUACCAUCAUCAGAUAUAUAAUUAAAUGUUUUAACUAUGUAAUUGCACAAAACAGUGGAAAUACUGAAGGAAUGAAGAAAGGUCUUGAUUCACUGUCCAGACAUCCAUUUGGUGACCACAGCCUAUGUGAUAAAUCCUGGUGUCGAUUCAUAUCAAAUCCAAAGGAGGUUUACAGAUCUCUUCCUCAUGGCAAACCUAUCACUGACCCCCAACUCCAGCAAACUUUGACCGAAGUAUUUAACUCCUAUAUUCAUCAUGCUGAGAAACUUUCAUCACUUGGAAGCACCCAGGCUAAUGAAAGUUUUAACAGAAUUGUUGGUUCAAAGGCUCCAAAAUCACAACACUAUAGUGGUUCAGCUAGUUUGAACUACAGGGUAGCUGGGGGAGUUCUGCAAAAGAAUUCAGGACACACUUACCUAUCAAUGGUUCACAGAAAAAUUGGAUUAUCUCCUGGUACACACACCUUGAAGCUGGGAAUUCUCAAAGAUUUACAAAAUCGGCGCAGGAGAGCAAUUGCAACAACAAAAAAAGCAAAGAAAAAAAGACUUGCAUUAAAAGCAAAAAGAAUGCAGGCAAACACAGCAAAUGAAAUUAGAGAAGGCACGUCAUACCAUCCCGCCAUAGAUACCCUGGACAUAUCAGCUGAUUCCAUUAAAGAAAUUCCUGAGCCUCAACCAUCACCUACAAUGGAGACUUCACCUCUACCAAAGAAAUGUUCAGCAGUUUACUUUGACCUUGAGAGUACAGGGCUAGCUAGGACUUCUCACCUCACUCAAAUUGCAGCAGUGUUUGGAGAGGAAAGUUUUGACACCUAUGUGAUACCACGUAUCCAAAUAUCGCCUACAGCAUCUACAGUUACUGGGCUCACAUGCAUAAACAGGACACUUUUUUAUAAAGGCCACCCUGUUAAUUCUGUUUCAAUUUCAGUAGCCAUACAACAUUUCAUUACAUAUUUGAAGAAACAAACACCACCCGUGUUCCUUGUUGGACACAAUAUCAAAAAUUUUGAUUGUCCACUGCUUUUGAAUGCAUUGGAGGCUGUUGGUAAAACAGACGAAUUUCUAGAAUGUGUGUCAGGAUUUCUUGAUACUAAAUUACUGUUCAAGAUUGGGAUGCCUGGCCUUUCUUCAUAUUCACAACCAAAUCUGUUCAAACUAAUAACCAAAUCUAACUACGAAGCUCAUGAUGCUGUACAAGAUGUUAUUUCUUUACAAAAGCUGGUGCGUGAGAGUAAAUUAGAAAUAUCUGAUGAGAGUUAUGCAAAUGCCACAUUUUCGGUUGAUUCAGCAAAAGAGAGUCAUGGAUAUGCAAAGAGAGUACGAGUGAACCUACCUUCUUUGAAAGGUUUGGUAGGGAGAAAGAUUUUAAGUGGAGCUAUGGCUAGGAAAGCUGCAGGCAGUGGACUAAACUAUAGUUGUUUGAAAUUAGCAUACACAAGGAAUGGAGUGGAUGGUAUAAGAAAUGUUUUUGGAGAGAAGUGUGGUAUGAAAGGGGUAAGAGUGACCAGAUCUUCAAAAAUUGCUGACACUGUUGGGCGAUAUUUUUCAGAGCUGCAAAUGUGUGUAAAUGAAGUAUAAGCAAAACUGACAAUGUAUGAUCAAAGAUCAAUUCAAAAUGUUUUGAUUUAUAGCUCUAGAUAUAUACUGUUAAAAAUAUGUCUGUCAUUCUUUGGUAUGCCAAUCAACAAGUUUUUAGCUUUGUGUAAGUUUUUUGGAAACCUUAUAAGUCUAAAAGUGGAAAUAAUAUUAUGGCAGAAUAAUGUGUCAAUAUAUACACGUUGCAAUUUUUCUACAAAUACACAAAGUAUUUGGAUAAGCUUGCUAAAUACAAAGUGUACAAUCCACACCAUUCUUAUUUUAUUAAUGCCUACAUUAGAUGGCUAUCAGUGAUAUAAUGGCAAAAUUCUGCUGAAUAUUUACCAUUUGCCAUGUAUUGAACUUCAUAUUUUGAUCUUGAAAAAAUUCUUUUGGAAGUUUGAAAAGUGGAAUUAAACUCAAACUUCCUACAGUGCUUCCUUACAAAAGUGCUUGUUUGGGAUUGCUUUUCUUGUUUAAAGGUCAUAUGUCAAGGUCACUGUUACUAAGCAUAGAAAAUUGGUUCCUGUACAAAUACUUUACAAAUAUGUUGCUAAGGCAUAAUGUUGCUAUGGCUUCUGAAGUAAAUAUAAUUUUUUUGUUUUGUUUGACAACUGACAUACCUUCCAUUUGUAUUUUCAUGAAGAUUUGAAUCGCCACUACGAAUCUUUUAGAAACAAGCUAUAUAUCCUUUUCAAUAUCGCUUUUAAAUCGACAUAUGAUAAGGCUAAUUACAUGUAUACUUGUACAAAUAUUUUGGAAAAUCAUGUCAAGGAGAUACUUUUUGAACUAAGUCUAGAACCAAAAUAAGCUCAAUGACCUAUGGUUUUUUGUUCAUUUAUUGAUAUAAGAUAUCCAUAGGUGCACAAAAAAACACCUAUGAAAAAAAGUUAGUUAUUAUUUCAUUACUUUUUAGUAUGUUUAGUUAGGGAGUAUGUAUCUCAUUUCGCUGUACAUCUAUUCUGGUAUUUUAGGGCCUGUUGUCAAGGAGACACUUUUUAAACUAAACCUGGCGAAAAAAUAAGCUCAAUGACCUAUGGUUUUUUGUUCAUUUAUUGAUACAAGGUAUCCAUUAAGGUGCAAAAAAAACUGAAUGGAGAAAAGUUAGUUAUUCCUUCAUUAUUUCCUAUCAUGUUUAAUUUGAUAUCUUGUUUUGCUCUAUAUUUAUACUCAUAUUUAGAACAGCUGUUGUCAUGGAAACAGUAUUUGAUCGAGACUAGAAUAAACAUUACAUCUUUAA